CCUACGGGGGGCUGCAGUGGGGAAUAUUGGACAAUGGGGGCAACCCUGAUCCAACCAUGCCGCGUGUGUGAAGAAGGCCCUCGGGUUGUAAAGCACUUUCAGUGAGGAAGAACGCCUGGUGGUUAAUACCCAUCAGGAAAGACAUCACUCACAGAAGAAGCACCGGCUAACUCCGUGCCAGCAGCCGCGGUAAUACGGAGGGUGCGAGCGUUAAUCGGAAUUACUGGGCGUAAAGCGCGCGUAGGUGGCUUGAUAAGCCGGUUGUGAAAGCCCCGGGCUCAACCUGGGAACGGCAUCCGGAACUGUCAAGCUAGAGUGCAGGAGAGGAAGGUAGAAUUCCCGGUGUAGCGGUGAAAUGCGUAGAGAUCGGGAGGAAUACCAGUGGCGAAGGCGGCCUUCUGGACUGACACUGACACUGAGGUGCGAAAGCGUGGGUAGCAAACAGGAUUAAAUACCCUAGUAGUC
rnacentral:rRNA from 1 species